rnacentral:rRNA from 1 species
CGUAGGGUGCGAGCGUUAAUCGGAAUUACUGGGCGUAAAGCGUGCGCAGGCGGUUUUGUAAGACAGAUGUGAAAUCCCCGGGCUCAACCUGGGACCUGCAUUUGUGACUGCAAGGCUAGAGUACGGUAGAGGGGGAUGGAAUUCCGCGUGUAGCAGUGAAAUGCGUAGAUAUGCGGAGGAACACCGAUGGCGAAGGCAAUCCCCUGGACCUGUACUGACGCUCAUGCACGAAAGCGUGGGGAGCAAACAGGAUUAGAUACCCUGGUAGUCCACGCCCUAAACGAUGUCAACUGGUUGUUGGGUCUUUACUGACUCAGUAACGAGCUAACGCGUGAAGUUGACCGCCUGGGGAGUACGGCCGCAAGGUUG